rnacentral:rRNA from 1 species
CCCGCCGGCGACCGGCGCACGGGUGAGUAACACGUAUGCAACCUGGCCGCCACAGGGGGAUAACCCGCGGAAACGCGGCCUAAUACCCCGUGACGCCACCGGAGGGCAUCCUCCGGUGGCCAAAGGAGCGAUCCGGUGGCGGAUGGGCAUGCGGCGCAUUAGCUAGACGGCGGGGUGACGGCCCACCGUGGCAACGAUGCGUAGGGGUUCUGAGAGGAAGGCCCCCCACACUGGGACUGAGACACGGCCCAGACUCCUACGGAAGGCAGCAG